CACGUAGGAGGCGAGCGUUAUUCGGAUUUACUGGGCGUAAAGCGCGUGUAGGCGGCUUUAUAAGUUGGAUGUGAAAGCUCCUGGCUUAACUGGGAGAGGACGUUCAAAACUAUAAAGCUUGAGUACGAGAGAGGAAAAUGGAAUUCCGGGUGUAGUGGUGAAAUGCGUAGAUAUCCGGAGGAACACCAGUGGCGAAGGCGAUUUUCUGGCUCGAGACUGACGCUCAGACGCGAAAGCUAGGGUAGCAAACGGG
rnacentral:rRNA from 1 species